GACGAACGCUGGCGGCGUGCUUAACACAUGCAAGUGGAGCGACGAACCGGGCUUCGGCCCGGGGCAAAGCCGCGAACGGGUGAGUAACACGUGGGUUACCUGCCCCGAUGACUGGGACGAACCCGGGGAAACCCGGGCGUAAUACCGGAUGUGCCCUAAGGGGGAAGGAAGCUUCGGCCUCCGCAUCGGGAUGGGCCCGCGGCCCAUUAGCUUGUUGGUGAGGGUAACGGCCCACCAAGGCUUCGAUGGGUAGCUGGUCUGAGGGGACGAUCAGCCACACUGGGACUGAGACACGGCCCAGACUCUACGGGAGGCAGCAGUGGGAAGUCUUGCGCAAUGCGCGAAAGCGUGACGCAGCAACGCCGCGUGGGGGAAGACGGCCU
rnacentral:rRNA from 1 species